rnacentral:tRNA from 1 species
UAGCGCAGUCCGGUCAGCGCACCGCGUUUGGGACGCGGGGGUCGGAGGUUCAAAUCCUC